rnacentral:rRNA from 1 species
UACAGAGGCCUCAAGCGUUAAUCGGAAUCACUGGGCUUAAAGCGUGCGUAGGCGGACAUGCAAGCAUGUUGGGAAAUCCCAUGGCUCAACCAUGGAACUGCUUCGUGAACUGCAUGUCUUGAGACAAGUAGGGGUGGUCGGAACGAUAGGUGGAGCGGUGAAAUGCGUAGAUAUCAAGUGGAACACCAGUGGCGAAGGCGAAUCCCUGGAAAAUACCUGACACUGAGGCACGAAAGCGUGGGGAGCAAACAGG